rnacentral:rRNA from 1 species
UACGGAGGAUCCGAGCGUUAUCCGGAUUUAUUGGGUUUAAAGGGUGCGCGGGCGGGAAAUUAAGUCGGCGGUGAAAUUUUGCGGCUCAACCGUAAAAGUGCCUUCGAUACUGGUUUUCUUGAGUGUAGAUGAAGUAGGCGGAAUUUGUGGUGUAGCCGUGAAAUGCAUAGAUAUCACGAGGAACUCAGAUUGCGCAGGCAGCUUACUAAACUACUACUGACGCUCAGGCACGUAGGCGUGGGGAUCAAACAGGAUUAGAUACCCUGGUAGUCCCU